AUGAUUUUGGAUUCAGGUAGAGCUAAUAUCUACUUCCCUUACCCAUCUCCCACAAAUCUGAAUGCCACACUGGCUUGUUUUAAGUUCAGAAUUAGGAAAUAUGAGUUCCAGUAUGAAUUCUACCACUACCUAUGGCGCUUCAGGUCUUCUCGAGGAGAUCACUUCCUGCCUAAUUCAGCUGAACUCCCAGCCAACUGGAACUCGACUUUGAGUUCUCAGCAGCUCAGCUGUUCAAAGACAGAUGGCUUAGGACUCAAAGAGGAAGGACACCCACAGCGGUCAAGGCCAGGAGACAUCCAAAGUACAGAGACUGCACUGUGGUCACUUGACUUCACCUGCUCUCAGGAUGCCUCUUGCACAGCUGACUCCAGUAUUUCCACCUUGCAAGAAGCAAGCCUCUGUACCUCCUCUUCACUUCUCAGAGGUCUGGACCUGUGGGAAGCCGUUGCAGAGUGACAGUUGCAGAGUGGCAGUUGGCUACUGCUGGCCACCACACAUACAUAGGCAGUGAAGGUUCUUUUGCCAAGACAAGUUAACCAAUCAGAUGUGAGACACGCCUCUCCUAGGCCUAUAAAAGCAGCACCAGUUCUGGGCUUGGGGUCACUUUGCCUCUACAAUCAAGUUCUCCCAAUAAACGUGUGCAGAAGGAUCCUGUUGCA
rnacentral:lncRNA from 1 species